AGAACAGGUACCAAGUAACUUUACGCACCAAGGCUUAGGCAGAUGGGACGAAAUUACCCAUUGUCUUUUUGUCUCUACGCUCCGCAGGAUUUGAACCCUAGUGUCCACACCUAACCUAUCCCCAACCAAAAGAAGUUCUCAGACUUUAAAAGUGCAGGCAUUAUUGAAAUUCCAAAUAUCAAAAUACACAUAGCUAUGUUCCAUUUUCAGUUUUUUCUCACUAUUAACCUUUACAUCGAUAUUAGAAUGUCUUCUGAACUUUUUUCAAAACUUUAAUAGCCAAAGAAUAAUUAGGACACUAUGUUUAUAAAUGUACUGUAUGUUAUAGAAAUGAUAUACUCUAUUAGAGUGAAGAACUCCUUUAAUUGCUCCAUUCCAGGGGCUUUAGGCAACUCAUAAAGAACGAGAUCAAAGGAAAAAGGCAGCAAAUAAGCUAAUGAAUAUUUGGUUGUAACAAGUUAUGGAAACAAAACCUGUGCAGGCUGCUGAGCCACAUUUACAGCACGCAACUGGUCGUAACAAGUUAUGAAAACAAAACCUGUGC
rnacentral:lncRNA from 1 species